AGGGCCGUCUCUAGCCUUUACAGGGCCCAGGGAGAGAAGGGUGGGGGCGCUAUGCUGGAUCACUGUUGUUUUCUGUGUCUGCCCAUCUUGAUUAGCGCACAGCGCCUGUGAAUGCCCAGGAGGUGAGCACCCGUCUAGUUGCCAUCCCACACCCCUCUUCAGACAGACCUGAUUUAGCAAGUAUAGACAGUGAAGUUUAACUGAAGUUUGUAGCUUUCCUUAGAAAUCCAGUUCCUGCAGGAUCAGGUUUUUUCGUUAUGCAUCUCAGUAUAACAAUUAAGUCCAACAAAAUCAAGUUCUGUGGAACUUAACUAUCUCAUCCAAAAGCAAAUUAAUGCUCUUAACCUAUACCCUUAAGAGUUCUAGGUCUGGCUACUAGGGAUGUGCAUGGAACCAGGCAGGAGGCUGCUGCUUUAAGAGAGGGGGAGGGUGCACUUAUCUCUCCCUCCGCUCUUCUCCUGCUGGUGCUCCUUUUUUCUAAAGUUCUUGGGGCGGCAGCGUACCUACCUGCCGCCCCAUUGCCCCCGUUUACCGGAUACAACGUGAAGUAUCAGACGCACCUGUGGCCGGCAGCAGCCAUGCUGGCGCCUAGUCACGUGUAGGCCCAUUAGAUACUUCCGGUUGUAUCUGGUAAAUGGGGGCAAUGGGGCAGCAGGGAGCUACACUGCUGCCCCAAUUAACUUUAGGGGAAAAGGAGCACCAGUGGGGGGAGAGUGGAGGGAGGCAUAAGUGCACACACACCCGCCAUCGAAGUGGCUGAACCAGCCGCCUUUCGUUCUGAUUUGCAGGCCCAUAAAGGGCCUCUCAACCAGUUCUGUGUACAUCCCUACUGGCCACAGCCAGCUCAAAUUGCAAGAAUUUGAAAAUGCUUCUGAAAACUUACCCAGAACUAAACAGUUGUGUAGGAAAGCUCAACUGCAAGCUCCAAUUGCAAAUACAUAAUCCAGCAGGAGCCUUAGGCUCAACAUCCAAGUUCAAAAUAUCUUAGCUUGAUACUCCAUGCCACAGUUUCCAGUCUGCAGAAUCAUGAAAAUAGGCUUCUUACUACAGAAGAAUCCAUUUUCAUGAGCUUUAGGUUAUUCAAUCACCAGCAGCAACUUUCAAGUACAAAUGCAUAGUUCCUUCAAAGAUUUCAGUCUCUUCGAAGGUGUGGUUCCUUUCUCCUCCACCAUCCACACCCCUAAUCAGGAGUUAACAUAUUUCUAUAUCCUGAUCUUAAGGCCAACUCUGUGUGAAAAUGAACUACACAUUUCAACAAAAGAUACAAGCACCUCUUCAAAGAACAUUUUAAUUUCCCCUCUUGGUAUAUGAGAAACAUUUGUAUAUUUGGACAGACAACUCCAACCUGAUUUUUAUGAACUUGUUAAGAAGAUAAAAUACCUACUAGGAUAACUGAGGUAACUUAACAAUCCAGAUGCCACUUUUCCCUAGAGAGGAAGCGGGUAAGGAAAUCAGACCUCUUCCUAAGAAAACAGAUAAGAUAUCUUCCAUCACUCAAAAUGUUGCCAAAUUUUGUGUGGCUGCUGUCAAGAUCUGUCAACAGUUAACUUCUGGCUCAGUUUCCUGGAUGCCACUACAAAAUGGCUAUUGUGUUGGUGUGUAUUGUAUGACUGAAUUCAUAUCUAAAUUCUAUUGGCCUGCUUGUAUGUCUUAUCAUUGAUCGUAAUAAAGCUAUUCAUUUGUCCAUCCA